UACGUAGGGGGCGAGCGUUGUCCGAAUUUACUGGGCGUAAAGCGCGCGUAGGCGGUUUCUUAAGUCUGGGGUGAAAGGUUCAACGCUCAACGUGAACAGUGCCUUGGAUACUGGGAGACUUGAGUCUGGGAGGGGGUAGUGGAAUUCCUGGUGUAGCGGUGAAAUGCGUAGAUAUCAGGAGGAACACCGAUGGCGAAGGCAGCUCGCUGGGACGGUACUGACGCUAAGGCGCGAAAGCGUGGGGAGCGAACAGG
rnacentral:rRNA from 1 species